rnacentral:lncRNA from 1 species
GAGUACCGUCAUCCUGGCCACUGAAGCAGAUGCUCGACCACAACCUGCCACAACACUUGAUCGCAUCCUCUGUCGACAUACUCGAUUGUGUCAGUCGAGCAUUCCCCAGCAAGCCUCCCUCAGAUCACUCGAGCAGAUGCUCGAUCACCACCUCCACGCAGCCUCUUGAUCACAAGCUUCAGAGUCUUCUCAGAUCCCCACUCAACCAGACAUUGAGCAUAAGGAAGAGAAGAGGAUGAAGCAGAACGCGAGCACAUACUCGACCCAAAUGCUCGAUCACAACAUGCCCAGAGCAAGAAAAUCGCAAGGCGCCAACUUUAUUCAACCUCUCUACUCGAUCACAAGGGUCGAGUAU